rnacentral:lncRNA from 1 species
UAAACACAGGAAAGGAGCUGGCUUCACACUUUGACCAUACACACCACCCAGGAACCUUAACUCCAUGGGUUUGUCAACUACCAGUUCAGCGCUAUUGCCUCCAGGGGAUGUCACUACUAUUUCCAUGAAGAUCUGAAUGCCUACCAGCAGAUGGACUUGAGAGGCCUCUUGCUGGUUUUGCAGGUGUUUAGAGGUUAAAAGAAGAAGAAAUGCUACGUCACCGGUUCUUCACUUGCCACAUGAAGUUUUCACUGGUUAAUUAUGCUUCACUAAGGGAGUAUUAAGAGAGACAAUAAGAAAAUAUACACGAGACAUGAAAGACAACGACAACUGUAUAAGAGAAGGUACUUUGCUGAUUGUUGCGAUAAUUCUCUCCCUCCAAAUGGAGCACUCUCUCCAUCUACAUGUUCGGGUUCUUAGUAUCUAGGGUGUACUGCCCUGGAUUCAAAUUUAGGUCUAUUUGAGUCUAGAACCAAUAUAAUUAGUCACUUCACAGGAUAAAGGCAGGAGCAAGCCAAGGCCCUUACAUCUAACAUAAGGAAUUCUACAUGUUGGGAGCCCAAGUUCCCCAAGCCUGGAUUGUGGGUCUCUGUCAGUACUAAAGACUAUGAAGAUCCCUGAGGCCAACAAAGCUGUCAUAAACAUAGGAGAACAGCUGUGGAAGAUGAGGAGACAAAUACAAAGGUAUCAGAAGAUACCCAAAGAGAAGCAGCCCGGUUCUCAUAAUAUGUUAUAGCAUACAGAGAGAGAAAGCUAAGAAUUCUACUCUUGCAAAUAAUCCUGGAUGUAAUGUGACAGUCACCAUGAGUGAGAACAAAAUGCCAGGUGAACGCAGCCACUGUAUCAUCUAAGACUGCCUUCCUUUGAUUCACCGAUCACCUUGCUGUCAUGUGUAUGGGAACUUUUCAUCAGGUCAAA